GUAACAGGAAGCAGCUUGCUGCUUCGCUGACGAGUGGCGGACGGGUGAGUAAUGUCUGGGAAACUGCCUGAUGGAGGGGGAUAACUACUGGAAACGGUAGCUAAUACCGCAUAACGUCGCAAGACCAAAGAGGGGGACCUUCGGGCCUCUUGCCAUCGGAUGUGCCCAGAUGGGAUUAGCUAGUAGGUGGGGUAACGGCUCACCUAGGCGACGAUCCCUAGCUGGUCUGAGAGGAUGACCAGCCACACUGGAACUGAGACACGGUCCAGACUCCUACGGGAGGCAGCAGUGGGGAAUAUUGCACAAUGGGCGCAAGCCUGAUGCAGCCAUGCCGCGUGUAUGAAGAAGGCCUUCGGGUUGUAAAGUACUUUCAGCGGGGAGGAAGGUGUUGAGGUUAAUAACCUCAGCAAUUGACGUUCCCGCAGAAGAGCACCGGCUACUCCGUGCCACAGCCGCGGUAAUCCGAGGGUGCAAGCGUAAUCGGAAUUACUGGGCGUAAA
rnacentral:rRNA from 1 species